rnacentral:rRNA from 1 species
GGUAACCUACCUAUAAGACUGGGAUAACUUCGGGAAACCGGAGCUAAUACCGGAUAAUAUUUCGAACCGCAUGGUUCGAUAGUGAAAGAUGGUUUUGCUAUCACUUAUAGAUGGACCCGCGCCGUAUUAGCUAGUUGGUAAGGUAACGGCUUACCAAGGCGACGAUACGUAGCCGACCUGAGAGGGUGAUCGGCCACACUGGAACUGAGACACGGUCCAGACUCCUACGGGAGGCAGCAGUAGGGAAUCUUCCGCAAUGGGCGAAAGCCUGACGGAGCAACGCCGCGUGAGUGAUGAAGGUCUUCGGAUCGUAAAACUCUGUUAUUAGGGAAGAACAUACGUGUAAGUAACUAUGCACGUCUUGACGGUACCUAAUCAGAAAGCCACGGCUAACUACGUGCCAGCAGCCGCGGUAAUACGUAGGUGGCAAGCGUUAUCCGGAAUUAUUGGGCGUAAAGCGCGCGUAGGCGG